CUCUAAUGAUUAGCUUCACCUUGGCAGCAUAAAGGCUUGACUAAGGGAGAAGCAACACAUGGUAAGUACAAGAUCUUCUGAUCACAUACAGCACAGCUGAAAUAUUGGGAGGGGACACACUCAGAGGGACUUGCCUUUAGGUCACUGGUUAGCAGCCAUCCAUCCUACCUGUUUGCAGCAGCUUUCCUCAGCAGGAUUACACAUACAGCAUUUAGUCAGUCAUUGGUUAUUAUGGGGCUGCAAGGAAUGCCCACAUCAGGGACCGAGCUCUGCGUACUUGAGGAGGGAAGGUGAGGUGCUUUUACACUGGCUCCUCCUCCAGUAUAAAGCUCAUCCCACUACCAAAUCUGCAUCAAGGCCCAGGGAAGGCUUGCCAGCAAAGAGCAGCUGCUGGCAGAUCAGAGGAAGGUGUGGAUCGUGUGGGCAGGGAGCUGGAGUGAAGGCAGCUGUGGCUGGAAGGAGCAAGCAGCGCAUGGCACUGAGUCCGAGGCAGGCUCUGUCCAUACCCAAGCCGGCCAGAGGCAAGCCAGCUCUGAACUGGAAACCACGCCGUGCCGAGCCAGAGUGAGCAAGUCCUGCUGAGAGGACCCCAGCCCCCCGGAGCUCGGCAGACAGCGGUGCUCUCUGAACAGAUCACAACUCAAUAUUUUUCUUUGUCCUCAUCACUCAGUGUCUGACUUCAUGCAUUAUUUAGUGCAUGCUAUCAAGCCCCCGAACGCAGCGCAGAACCACACGCUUCCCCCUGGCCUUUCAGCAGGGCUUUGUCACGGGAUGAAUGGCCCCUGGACGGGGAGAUAGGGCUUGGUCUUCCUGUCACCACCGUCUGGAGGGGGAGCCAGGCUUUUCCCACCCACCUGCAAGUAAUUAAAUGCCGGGUGGCUGCUGGGCAGCCAGCUAACACCUGGUCCUGAUAAAAGGCUGCCAGCAGUUGGGGUAGGAGCUGCCUGCAGGGAGGGAGCUCCUGCAAGAUGGAGGGUGGUGCCUUGGGGAGCAGUCUGGGGUGUGAGCUCCUAGGUGGCUCUGGGAGGUCUGCUCCCACUUAAACCACUGUCUUUAACGUGUCUGGGCAAUGGACCACAGCGAGAAUGCACAGAAAACCUAAAUGCUUGCAGCCUCAAAUUCUAGUGUCCUUAAUGCUCCAGCCUUCAAGUUCUUAUGCUGUUAUUUGCUUGCUCUGUGUGCACAACUUUAAUGGGGCUCCCUGCUUCCAGAGCAGCAAGCAAACGGGGGAGUUGGACCAGAACAAUCCUGCUGGCCUGGCAGUGGUACCACAGAGUGCUGCCAGGCUCGCACCUCGUGCUUGCUCACCUGUUGUCAAACUCAGUCACGUUGUGCAGCUGUUUUCGAGAUUUUUUUAUGCUAUUGGUGCUUGAACUAAAUUUCUCCCUUGUAAAGGAAAGAAGCUGAGAACUCAAGCCUCACAGUGCAACCCAGAGAAGUGAGCCUUUGAAUGCUGCUGUAUCCCAGGCUGCCUGUCAGAGGAUGCACAGUACAGCGUGUUGAAGGCACUGGACAAUCUCAUGCUGUUAUCGAAGCUGAGAUGCAGGGCUCUUCCUGCGACCCAGCCGGCACUACUCCCAGUCCGUGGGCUUGCCUGCAGAGGUCUGCUGCGUCUUGCUCUGGUGUAGGAAGCAGAAGGCAAGAGGAGGCUGGCACCGCUGCAACAGAUCCAGUCACAGGGUGCACAGGUCCCCCAGCACCCCAGUGGGAUGCCCAUGAUCUCUUCCUGCCUCUUCCGAUCUGCUCACCCUUUGCUGUCAUCAACAAUAACCCUGAUGUCAGAGUUUCGGCAUGUCCAGAGGGUGGCUGUGGGGUGCCCCCUCCAGCAGGACAGGGUUUUUCUGGAGCCUGGAGGUGCUGCUGCUCUCCACGGGAGACGAGAGGAGCAGCAGGACAGCCCAGCCACUCGAUGCUCUGCAGCCACCACCAGCUGAUUUAAACAACCCAAGGCAGAGGCUCAUCCUGUCAAAGCGAGUUGGAGAAACAAAGCUGAUGUCCAGUGCUAGAACACUUCUUUAAUGGGGCUUAGCCACGUAAGCAGCCGCAGCCACUGCCAGGAGCGUGCUGCACAGAUGUUGGAGCACUGCGCCGAGGAACAAGAAGGUGCUUGGGAUGCUUCGCUCAGCCUCCCCGGGGACUGAGGUGUGGUGGGGGAGGGCUUGUCCCAUGUCAAGCUGGGUUCAAAAGCCCCUCUCAAAGCUUCUGUGGGUACGGCAGUGUGAGAUGCUCCUUAAUGCCCAGCUGCACAUCAGGUGCAUGCGGGGCUUUAAAUAGCCGGGGGCCACCACGCAGUGCUCGCAGUGAGUUCUCCCUGCUGCAGUUUCAAUUCUGUACACCAACCAGUUUCUUUUAAACCUCCUGAGUGUCUUUGACGCUCUCCUCCCCCGUGUCUCCCCACGCUCCCUCCUGCACCCUCCCAGCCAUUUGCACAUCUGGCUGCUUGCUCCCACCCUUCAGACCCUGGGGUGCAGGCAGAGGGGAAGGACCACAGGCAGCAGCAGCGCUGAGCUCAUGGACUUGUGCUUCCCACUCCAUCUUCCAGCUCAGUCCAUCACACAGUGCUUUGCAGCAUCCUACGAAGUCCAACCUUCUGCUUGCUGUGUGCCACUGCAGUUACCUUCCCCAAAUUAAGGUCCUACAGCACAUUUAGGUGAUUGCAAAAGCUACAGUAUGACAAAUCCAGCCAAGGAGUGGACCAGGGGCAGCACAGACACAGCUGUUUCCUGUGUGGGCAACGUGUUUUGCGCAAGCCAGAUCCAAACCAGGGAGUAUGUCUGAUAGCCCAGAGGGUCGGGGUACCUCACAGCUCCUUAGCCCUCCUGCAUGUGCUGACAUCAAAGUUGUGUGAUGGAAAUAUCACAGUAAGGUCAGGGAGAGGAGGUCGGCACUGGGAGAUGUGCUCCCAGCUCUCUGGUUAGAUAUCCUUUCCAUGCCAGCUGCCUCGUUUGUAAAACAGGAGCAGUCACCUCCCUAGCUACCCUGCUUGAUCACAGCACUGAUUACUUACCCUAUCUGCUGGUGAAACCGCUGCACUCCUGCAGCCUGUGGCCAGAUGACCGCAGUUUUAAAGCCAGUAGGCGCGAUGGUCUGCCUGUAAUUCUGAAUG